GUGAGGAGAAGGAAGAGCUCUUGACAUUCGUUUAUGUGCCUUGUCUAUGGCAUCUGUUAGUGAUUCCAGACGUUUUAGCACCCGGGCAACAGCACUUGGACAGUGGAUUGCUGAAAGGAAAAAUACGAGUUGGCAAGGCAACAGCAAAUGUUAAGUCAAACAAAUAUGAUGGUAAAGUUUAAAAACCUUUCCACACUAUCUUGUCUCGCAACAACAGCAUGUUCCUGGCUCAUUUGAUCCUCACUCUAGAUACUGGCCAUCUAAUGAAAUUGGUUAGGCAGAUUGAAGUCUUUUCAUUUUCUUUCAUUUCCAUGUUCACUGUUAUGUGUAAUUUUGAAUUAGGACUUCACCAAAAA